GGGAUAGCUGAGUUGGUAGAGCGUGAGACUCUUAAUCUCAGGGGUUGUGAGCCUGAGCCCCACUUUGUGCA